rnacentral:rRNA from 1 species
AGUGAACGCUGGCGGUAGGCCUAACACAUGCAAGUCGAACGGCAGCACAGUAAGAGCUUGCUCUUACGGGUGGCGAGUGGCGGACGGGUGAGGAAUACAUCGGAAUCUACUUUUUCGUGGGGGAUAACGUAGGGAAACUUACGCUAAUACCGCAUACGACCUACGGGUGAAAGCAGGGGAUCUUCGGACCUUGCGCGAUUGAAUGAGCCGAUGUCGGAUUAGCUAGUUGGCGGGGUAAAGGCCCACCAAGGCGACGAUCCGUAGCUGGACUGAGAGGAUGAUCAGCCACACUGGAACUGAGACACGGUCCAGACUCCUACGGGAGGCAGCAGUGGGGAAUAUUGGACAAUGGGCGCAAGCCUGAUCCAGCCAUACUGCGUGGGUGAAGAAGGCCUUCGGGUUGUAAAGCCCUUUUGUUGGGAAAGAAAAGCAGCAGGUUAAUACCCCGCUGUUCUGACGGUACCCAAAGAAUAAGCACCGGCUAACUUCGUG